UGCAGGAGUAGAAGCGGUCAGCGGCGAUGCUGCGGGACAUUGCUCCCCUG
ncrna:unclassified sequences NMT1 RNA